rnacentral:rRNA from 1 species
UACGUAGGUGGCAAGCGUUGUCCGGAUUUACUGGGCGUAAAGAGCGCGCAGGCGGUCGUUCAAGUCGCGUGUGAAAGCCCCCGGCUCAACUGGGGAGGGUCACGCGAUACUGAUCGACUCGAAGGCAGGAGAGGGUAGUGGAAUUCCCGGUGUAGUGGUGAAAUGCGUAGAUAUCGGGAAGAACACCGAUGGCGAAGGCAGCUCUCUGGACCGUUACUGACGCUGAGGCGCGAAAGCGUGGGGAGCAAACAGG